AUUGAACGCUGGCGGCAGGCUUAACACAUGCAAGUCGAGCGAGUGGCGGACGGGUGAGUAAUGUCUGGAAAACUGCCUGCUGGAGGGGGAUAACUACUGGAAACGGUAGCUAAUACCGCAUACCAUCAGAUGUGCCCAGAUGGGAUUAGCUAGUAGGUGGGGUAAUGGCUCACCGAGCCGACGAUCCCUAGCUGGUCUGAGAGGCUGACCAGCCACACUGGAACUGUGACACGGUCCAGACUCCUACGGGAGUCAGCAGUGGGGACUAUUGCAUAAGUGGCGCAAGCCUGAUGCAGCCAUGCCGCGUGUGUGAAGAAGGCCUUCGGGUUGUAAAGCACUUUCAGCGAGGAGGCGUUACUCGCAGAAGAAGCACCGGCGAACGACGUGCCAGCAGCCGCGGUAAUUC
rnacentral:rRNA from 1 species